rnacentral:lncRNA from 1 species
UCCUUUAGUGUUUUCCAUCACUCUAUUUUCCAACUCAGCAUAUACCAUUUUAUUGAAUGUCAAACACAUAUUUAAACUGUAAUAGUUUGAACUCUCAUGUAGAGUCCUGAUCAUACGCAUACCAUAUCAUGAUAAAAUAAUCUAUAAGAAUACUUCAUGCAACAAAUUUUAAACUAUUAAAAAGUACAUCCCUUGCAUACGUAGCUCAAAAUAUCCAAUAUCCAUGAGGCGGAAGGAGUCUUGCACAACCCUUCUUCCUCGGUGUGCAAAUCUCCUAUUCUUUCUUUUCGGCCGGUGGCAGAGGCAUACACACCUCUACCUCUUCACCUUUCUCAACCAUAGGUAAACACGCCUCUAUUUUUUUUUUCCUAAAAUAGUACCGUUUUGGGGUCUUCUAAAACGACGUCGGUUUAGUUUGUUACAUAGACGAUCGUUGUCCGGCCACUCACACAACCCAUCACAAUAUUUAGUUUUGUGUAUGGUUUGUCCAGGUCAGUAAAUAAGCAGUAGUAUAUUUAAUAUCUCGGUGUCACACCCAUUCUGGCCACAUAAUUGCCAUCCACUUACGCAACACAUUUAAUAACCUACAGCAGGUUAAUGCAUUACACAGUAAAAAAAAUCAGCAGAUAAUAUGACAAGGAAAUGAUGUGAAAUCUAACCCAUAUUUGGCCACUCACACACAUAUAACUAUUAACACAACAUACAGCUCACAAAUGCAACACACAAUUGUUAAUACAGCAUAUGAGGUAUACUAUUUUCACACAUUUACCAACUGGCCACACACCCACACAAAGUUGAUCCACACACCAGAAAUAGUAACCCAUGUUUCCUUAAGAAGGCUUUCAGUUUAACACCAUAGUCCCCUAGAAGGCCGGUUAAUUUCUCUCCCUUUUUUUGCCUCAUAACCCUUUCCAUUUAUUCCCAUAUCUCUCCAUCCAUUCUCUCCCUCAAACAACUAUCACUUAUUCAAAAUUUCAUUUCUAAACCAUUACAAAUAAAACCUACAUUCUGUUGUUUCCUCCCCUUGACUCUCCCUAAAAACAGGCCCUGACUUCCCAUCUAUUUUCCUUCUCCAAUGUUCAUUCAUACUUUUCCAUUUUUUUAAUUUUUAAAUUAAUUUACAUUCAUUUAUCCCUCUCCUUUUAUCAUAUCUGAUUUAUUCUUCUGGGUUACUUUUGGCCAUUCAUCCUAGUUUCUAGUUUUUAGGACCCUAAUUGAUUUUCUACAAAAUGUUAGCCUUUUAUCAUGAAAACCCUUUCAGUAAACUAUAUUGUGUUAGAGUCGAUGGGUGAAGUGUGUUGUUCUGUGACUAUAAACGUAAACCAUACUGUAUUAUUGAAUAUCGUAUUGAUAUUACUGUAGUACAUUGUGAAAACAAUGGGUGUGCAUUGUCACUGUACAUAGAGAAAAUAAAACUAUAGUCGUAAUUGUCACCAUUUAACAAUACUAUCAGCUAUGCCACUACAAAUAAAAGAUUGAAGAAGUAUGAGAGUAAAGAAAAAAGAGAGGUAUUUGAUUAUCAGUCUUGGAGGGUAGGGUAUUAAAUUAUUUUUAUUGAGCAUGUAUAGUUCAUUCAUUCCCAUUUUUCAGAGCACAAAAACCAAGAAAAAAACUCAAGAUUAGUCGAAAUAAUGAGAUCUAUAGGGUGAGGAUGAUAUAUGUUAACAUCAGUUAGUGUCGACAUAAUUUUUCAAACUCUAAACCAUUAUCUACCUUUCUAAAAGUGUUAACAUCUCUUGUUACGGGCUAACUAUUUUAAAUUUCACCAAUGUUGUAAGGGAAGAA